rnacentral:rRNA from 1 species
GACGUAGGGGGCCAGCGUUGUUCGGAAUUACUGGGUGUAAAGGGUUCGUAGGCGGUGCGGCAAGUCGGGAGUGAAAUCUCUGGGCUUAACCCAGAGGCUGCUUCCGAAACUGCUGUGCUUGAGUGCGGGAGAGGCGCGUGGAAUUGCAGGUGUAGCGGUGAAAUGCGUAGAUAUCUGCAGGAACACCCGUGGCGAAAGCGGCGCGCUGGACCACUACUGACGCUGAGGAACGAAAGCUAGGGGGAGCAAACAGG